rnacentral:rRNA from 1 species
UGACCUCAAAUCAGGUAGGACUACCCGCUGAACUUAAGCAUAUCAAUAGCGGAGGA